GCAGAUACCCGGCAACAAUUUAUUGGCACGCAGCACAGUCAACGUUCAGAAACCCAAGAUGCACGCAGUUCUCAGAGGCUUCACAAACCUACGUGCCCACAGCCACGACAAGGCCCCUCACCCCCUCUACAGGUCUGGGUCUUCACGGAGCCAUGACCCUCAGAUGCCGACUCUAAUGUGGGGUAAUUCACCCAGGGCUGCUGCAGUGUCCCAAGAAGGGAAAUGCGGAGCUGGGGGCCAGACCUACUUCCCCGCACAGGGGAUUCCCAGGCCCAGAGCAGCGCCUCGAGGCGCCCAGCACUUUCUAGAUGAUCGGAAGUGUUCCGUAGGAAUGGGCAGCCUCAGGACCACCUCCCUGGGCCACACAGCUCCCUCUCCCUCCGAGUCAGUUGUCAGACUGGGAGGGCAGUCCCCUGCAAGCUAGCUGUCUUCAGAUUUGGCCUCAGACCCGUGUGUUUGGGGCACAACGGCUCUCUUCCUGAUACCGCCAACUGACGAAGUGCUAAGGACUCCCCUGAGGGUUGGUGGUGACUCAUUUUGCUGACUGAAGAAUGAAAGAACAAGAUAGGUGUCUCUGGUUUGGACAGUCUCUGAAGCUGUUUGGCUACGAGAACACUAUCAAAGGCACUGCAUGAUUCAGCAGAUUUCUGGAACUUAUUCACUUAGCAAACUGAAACCUUAUACCUUCUGCACAACAGCUCCCUUACAACCGACUUUUCUUCAAACUUCUAUAUUACAAGAAAUUAUAAGAACUUUCGGAUUUUCUGCCAUGAAGCAGCAUGAUUUAACAGUGGUUUUCAAAUGCUUUUUUAAAGCACUGGAAGCUUCUUCUUCUGCUGCUGCUUCUUUUUUAAAUCCUACACCUAAGCCCCAAAUUAUAAAAAAGAUCAAAGCAGAGUUGCUCUGUUAGGAGUGGAUGCCGGCCCCACGGACCCAAACCUGCUACGGAUCCUCCUUCCUCUAGCCAGGCAGCCCCAGAGGCACCCACAUGGAGGCCCUAGGGCAUCCCAGGACAAAAUUUAGCAAACAUGUGGGUGAGUAGGAAGAGGUCUGGCAGACCUGGGUUUGGAUCCUGUCCCUGCUGCUCGUGAGCCAUGGAGACCUUCAGUCAUUCACAAGCAUAUCUGCACCUUGCUUUCCUCAUCUGUAAAAUGGGAUUAAUAACUCUCAUGUUGCUGGCGGGCUACAAGGAUGGAGGCAGAUGCCGUUAAGGCACCCGACACCACAUCUGGCACGUGGAAUCUUUACACGACUUAGCGUGGCUGUACUUAUUUCAGGGAGACUCUAGGAUGAAGGCUACCUACUACAGGCUGGGAGAGAAAGAAAAAAAUGACAGCAAGGAGACUUCCCCUAGGUCAGAACUGUUAAGGCUGUUGCUGCCCAGUUUGGUACUCCUUUCUCCAAAACAUCCACAUGCUUUGUGUCGUAUCUCCUGUUUAAAAACAGGACAGUCAAGAGAGCAAAUAGACAACCCACAGAAUAGGAGAAAAUACUUGCAAAUUGCAUAUUGGUAAGAGUCUGAUAUUCCGAAUAUUUCACGAACUCUAACAACCCAGCAAUACAAAACCAAAAGCAAGCCAAUUAAAAAUAAGCAAAGGCCUUGAAUAGCGAUUGCCCAAAGAAGAAAUACAAAUGGCCAAUAAGCACAUGAAAAAAUGCUCCACAUCCUUAGUCAUUAGGGAAACGCAACCGAAACCACAGUGAGAUAGCCCUUAAUAGCCACUUUUGGCAAUGAAACUACAGAAAAAUAACAAGUGUUGGCAAAAAUGUGGAGAAAUUGGAACCUUUAUACAUUGCUGGUAGGAAUGCAAAAUGGCACAGGCUCGAAGGAAAAUGGGUUAGCAGUCCCUUACUAAGGAAAACAUAGAACUGUCAUAUGACCUAGCAAUUCCACUGUUGGACACGUACCCAAAGGAGCUGAAAACACAGGCUCGAACAAAGCACACAAAUGUUGAUAGCAACACCAUUCACAAUACGCGAAAAGUGGGAAUAACCUAAACGUCUAUCAACCCAUGAAUAAAACAGGGUCUCUCCAUACGAUGGAAUAUCGUUCAUCCGUAAAGGGAAUGAAGUCCUGACAUGUGCUACAACAUCGAUAAAACUUGAGAACGUUAUACUAGAGUGAGAAAAGCCAGACACAAAAGGCCACAUAUUGUAUGAUUCCCUUUCCACGAGAUACCCAGAAAAGGCAAAUCCAUAGAGACAAAAGCAGAUCAGUGGUUGCCAGGAGUGGAGGAGGUAAGAAUGAGGAGUGACUGCUAAUGGGCACAAGUUCCUUUAAGGGUGCAGAAAAAGUUCUGGAACUAGAGAGUGGGGGUGGUUGCACAACAUUGUGAUUGUACUUGAUGCCACUGAAUUGUACAUUUUUAAAUGAAUAAAAUAUAAGCUUUCUGUUAUGUGUGUUUUAACACAAUAAAAAAAAAGACAGGACAAGUGUCCAUCCAACCAAAAUACAGCUGGUGCAUUUUUUGAAAGCAAA